rnacentral:rRNA from 1 species
UACGUAGGUGGCAAGCGUUGUCCGGAUUUACUGGGCGUAAAGAGCGCGCAGGCGGUCGGAUAAGUCGAGUGUGAAAGCCCCUGGCUCAACCAGGGAGGGUCAUUCGAUACUGUUCGACUCGAAGGCAGGAGAGGGAAGUGGAAUUCCGGGUGUAGUGGUGAAAUGCGUAGAUAGUCCGGAGGAACACCAGUGGCGAAGGCG